UCUAAAGUCACCAAAGCUCUGGAUUAUAAAUGCAAAACGAUGUUGAAAUGGCAUGAAUGGAUGAUGAAGAGGGGCAAUCUUUGUUAAAGAAAUCUUGACGUCAUUUGAAAAUGUUAAACAUUUAAAUGCAGUUAUAAUUGGUUAUCUAGAACUUAUAAUUACUCCUCUUUUCACUGGCCAGUGUGUGGUAUGUUGUAUAAAAACACAAAUUCUGCAAUUAACUAAUUUUGUAGAGCAUGCAGUAUAAAAUGUGCCAUGUACUAUCUACUUAAUUAACAAUAUUAAAGGUAAUACUUGUCAGUA